rnacentral:rRNA from 1 species
UACGUAGGGUGCAAGCGUUGUCCGGAAUUAUUGGGCGUAAAGAGCUCGUAGGCGGUCAGUCGCGUCUGCUGUGAAAACUCGGGGCUUAACUCCGGGCCUGCAGUGGGUACGGGCUGACUAGAGUGCGGUAGGGGAGACUGGAAUUCCUGGUGUAGCGGUGAAAUGCGCAGAUAUCAGGAGGAACACCGGUGGCGAAGGCGGGUCUCUGGGCCGUAACUGACGCUGAGGCAUGAAAGCGUGGGGAGCAAACAGG